GGCACACAAAUUCAGUGCCUCCUCCUCUGUGGAUGCCACUGGCCAAAAUGGCUGCCACAGUGAUGUUGUAGUUCAUGGGCCCCACAGUGUUUCAUCACAGGCCCUGGGGAUAAAUAUGUACUCCACACAGAC